rnacentral:rRNA from 1 species
UAGGGAAUCUUCGGCAAUGGGGGCAACCCUGACCGAGCAACGCCGCGUGAGUGAAGAAGGUUUUCGGAUCGUAAAGCUCUGUUGUAAGAGAAGAACGUGUGUGAGAGUGGAAAGUUCACACAGUGACGGUAACUUACCAGAAAGGGACGGCUAACUACGUGCCAGCAGCCGUGGUAAUACGUAGGUCCCGAGCGUUGUCCGGAUUUAUUGGGCGUAAAGCGAGCGCAGGCGGUUUAAUAAGUCUGAAGUUAAAGGCAGUGGGUUAACCAUUGUUUGCUUUGGAAACUGUUAAACUUGAGUGCAGAAGGGGAGAGUGGAAUUCCAUGUGUAGCGGUGAAAUGCGUAGAUAUAUGGAGGAACACCGGUGGCGAAAGCGGCUCUCUGGUCUGUAACUGACGCUGAGGCUCGAAAGCGUGGGGAGCAAACAGG